rnacentral:lncRNA from 1 species
AACCUAUACUACAACUUCUCCACUGUGCUCGUCAAAGCCUCCAAAAUAUUUACAUGGUUCUUCAAGGCAUACCCCGGAUAUAAUAUUUACAAAAUUCACGGGGCAUUCCCCGAAUAAAUUUAACUAAGGGACAACCUUUCACCUCAAAAUCAACAAAAUCCUAAAACUUGCCUACCCAAAUGUGGUCAGCCUAAGCAUGCUCCUAGCGAUCAAUAUGAAAAUAAGGAGAAUUAAAUAAAAGGGAACUUCAAUUCAUGGUCGUUUCCAUUUUUAAUAGUGAACUCCCAAGUCCCCUUAUCAUUCUAUCCAAAUAAACAUAUGCACAGUGGCAAACACUAACCAAUUAGGCUAAAUCACAAGACCGAAUUGUGAACAUGGAAACACAUGUAAAAACGGAAUAUAAACACCUUAGAGGGAACUAUCCAGAAGGUGUGGGCUAAUGGACUAACUAGUAAAUAAAUGACAAAUAAAGAUAAAACAAAUGAAUGCCACGAUCAGGACUGGAAAAUACGAAAAACACCUUGCAAUAUCAUUUCAUCUUUCUCAAGCUGCUCCUCUCAACCCAAACAGGCACAGGUAUAGACCUCUUUUGUGGUUUAAAUUCAAAAGAAACAAGUCAAUCACCCUCUCAGUGUCUAUCCCUCAUAUGCUUAACGUGGAAGACACAUGAGAAAUCGACAAUGACACUAUUCACAUUUCAUGUAAGUAAGACAUUAGAUAGGAAACUCAAGGCAAACAAGGACACCUACCGGAAUGGCACGAGAACAGAAUGAAAUCAUCAAGAAACAAAGCCCGUUCACGUUGAGGCGCGACAAAUGAGUUGAAUAUGCAAACAUAAACCACUCCAAACCUAUGAGUAGCUAAACUUAAUUAGCCAGAAGAAAUCGAUUGCAAGCUAAUCUUAAUGAAACUAAGGCCUAGCAACUACAAGGACUAGCAUGUUGAAGACAAAAUCAACUCGACUUCAAUUGCAAAUCAGUAAUUAUACUUCACCAAACUUCCAUUUUAUCCUUGAACUUAAACAAGAAUUGUUAACUGGUUUUGGAUUUUCUGAUAGGAUUAAAUCAAGAAAAGAAGGUCACUAUAUGUGAUUAUCAGUCAGUCGUGGAGGAGAAACAUGGAAGGGAAUUAUGCAGAUUCAAAUCAAAUUAUAAAAUUGGAGAGAUCAAGAAAGAGAGGUGAAUCAAGCAUCACGAACUACUGGGAUUAACUCUAUUCAAAUUAAUAAGGGUUUGUAAUAGUUUUGUGAAAAUAUAAGUCAAACUAACCAAGCCAUUAGUAGAAUAAACACAUCAGAUCAAUGAACAAUUCCAAAAGCUCAUUUCAUAUUUAAACCUGACAAAAUAAGAAGGCAUGGAAGUGAUUCCACUUGAGCCUAAGAGGCAUACAGAUUCAUCAAGUUAUCACUAAGCGAUCAAGGCACUUUGGCAUGAAACUUUGCAUUCAUCAAAGAAGUCAGUCGAAAGAACUCUAACAGUAACACAACAUAUCUCGCCAAACUCAAACUAUCACUCAACCGGAUCAAACUUCAAUCAACCACACUAGAACUAGGCAGAAUCGAAGUUGCGAGACAUUUAAAUACCAAAAACCAAACAGAACACGUGAUGGUGUAACUUAAUCCAGACUUAAUACUAUCCGAAAGUCACAAAAUUGUCUCUGCUAAUGCCCAGAUGCGAUUAUUUAUCUUCUAAAACAUGUCAAGCAAAUUCAAACUACUAAGUCCACUUUAUAAUAUUUCGAAUCAUCAUCAAGAGAGUAAGAAAACAAAGACGAAAUUGGAAGUUAAGCUUUCAUUUAAUUCUGUAGAGAUCGAUUACAAGAGAAGAAGAUUUGGUGACGAACUUGACAACGAAAAUAGCUACUGAAAAUCCAGAGUCAACAACGAAGCAGCAGAGCAGAAACCAACACAGGGAACGUGGACACGAACCGAAAAAUUCGAACGGCGAGCUCGACCUCGGAUCAAUCAAUCUCCAAGUUGAAACUAAAACCAAAAGAAGCAACUAAAAUAUUUUUGGGAAUUUUCUGAGCUUUUAUUUUGAAAAUGAAACCAAGACUUGAACAAAGGGUAAAUCAAACUUUCUUUUCUUUCUUUUCGUAUUUUCACUUUUCUGGAAUGCUCAUUACAAAGGAAACCGAGGAAUCUAAGAAGAAGGCCAAGGAAAACCAAGAGCCCCAGCUUUUUCCGAAAUUUUCCUCCUCCUCCUUCUCCUCCUUUUUUUCCAAAAAAAAACCCGUCCCCCCUAUGUAUAUGAACAUAUAUAUAUAUAUAUAUAUAUAUAUAU